CUUAGUGGCAGACGGGUGAGUAACAUGUGGGUAUCUGCCCUUUGGCCUGGAAUAACACGAGGAAACUUGUGCUAAUACCGGAUAAGUCUUUACGGAGAAAGCUUUAUGCACCAUUGGAUGAGCCUGCACUUGAUUAGUUUGUUGGUGGGGUAAUGGCCUACCAAGACUGUGAUCAAUAGCUGAUUUGAGAGGAUGAUCAGCCACAUUGGGACUGAGACACGGCCCAAACUCCUACGGGAGGCAGCAGUGGGGAAUCUUGCACAAUGGAGGAAACUCUGAUGCAGCGAUGCCGCGUGAGUGAAGAAGGCCUUUGGGUUGUAAAGCUCUUUCGUCGGGGAAGAAAAUGACUGUACCCGAAUAAGAAGGUCCGGCUAACUUCGUGCCAGCAGCCGCGGUAAUACGAAGGGACCUAGCGUAGUUCGGAAUUACUGGGCUUAAAGAGUUCGUAGGUGGUUGAAAAAGUUGGUGGUGAAAUCCCAGAGCUUAACUCUGGAACUGCCAUCAAAACUUUUCAGCUAGAGUAUGAUAGAGGAAAGCAGAAUUUCUAGUGUAGAGGUGAAAUUCGUAGAUAUUAGAAAGAAUACCAAUUGCGAAGGCAGCUUUCUGGAUCAUUACUGACACUGAGGAACGAAAGCAUGGGUAGCGAAGAGGAUUAGAUACCCUCGUAGUCCAUGCCGUAAACGAUGUGUG
rnacentral:rRNA from 1 species